rnacentral:ncRNA from 1 species
UGGCUCUGGAGAAGGCCUCCCCGCAAAAAGGGAGGGGCUGCCGAAGGUGCAACGCGCGCGGGCAGACGGACGCGCGCCAAUCUCUCAGGCAAAAGGACAGAGUUGGAA